rnacentral:ncRNA from 1 species
CCAGGUCCCGACGCUAUCCCCCCCCGGCGCCGGGACCUUCCAGGCCGGGCCCCGGCGCCUACCCCCCCCCAGGCGCCUGGGCCCGGUCUUUUC